UGCAUAUCAAUAAGCGGAGGAAAAGAAACCAACAGGGAUUGCCUCAGUAGCGGCGAGUGAAGCGGCAAAAGCUCAAAUUUGAAAUCUGGCGUCUUUGGCGUCCGAGUUGUAAUUUGAAGAAGGUAUCUUUGGGCCCGGCUCUUGUCUAUGUUCCUUGGAACAGGACGUCACAGAGGGUGAGAAUCCCGUGCGAUGAGAUGACCCGGGUCUGUGUAAAGUUCCUUCGACGAGUCGAGUUGUUUGGGAAUGCAGCUCUAAGUGGGUGGUAAAUUCCAUCUAAAGCUAAAUAUUGGCGAGAGACCGAUAGCGAACAAGUACAGUGAUGGAAAGAUGAAAAGAACUUUGAAAAGAGAGUGAAAAAGUACGUGAAAUUGUUGAAAGGGAAGGGCUUGAGAUCAGACUUGGUAUUUUGCAUGUUGCUCUCUCGGGGGCGGCCGCUGCGGUUUACCGGGCCAGCAUCGGUUUGGAGCGGCAGGAUAAUGGCGGAGGAAUGUGGCACGGCUUCUGCUGUGUGUUAUAGCCUCUGACGAUACUGCCAGCCUAGACCGAGGACUGCGGUUUUUACCUAGGAUGUUGGCAUAAUGAUCUUAAGUCGCCCGUCUUGAAACACGGACCC
rnacentral:rRNA from 1 species